rnacentral:rRNA from 1 species
GACGAACGCUGGCGGCGUGCUUAACACAUGCAAGUCGAACGGUGAAGCGCCUUCCUUUUUGGUGGGUGUGGAUGAGUGGCGAACGGGUGAGUAACACGUGAGUAACCUGCCCCCUUCUUCUGGAUAACCGCAUGAAAGUGUGGCUAAUGCGGGAUAUUCUGGGUCUGUCGCAUGAUGGGUCUGGGAAAGAUAUUGUUUCGGUGGGGGAUGGGCUCGCGGCCUAUCAGCUUGUUGGUGGGGUGAUGGCCUACCAAGGCGGUGACGGGUAGCCGGCCUGAGAGGGUGGACGGUCACACUGGGACUGAGACACGGCCCAGACUCCUACGGGAGGCAGCAGUGGGGAAUAUUGCACAAUGGGCGCAAGCCUGAUGCAGCGACGCCGCGUGAGGGAUGGAGGCCUUCGGGUUGUGAACCUCUUUCGCCAGUGAAGCAGGCCUGCCUCGUUUGUGGGUGGGUUGACGGUAGCUGGAGAAGAAGCGCCGGCUAACUACGUG